UACGUAGGGACCAAGCGUUGUUCGGAUUUACUGGGCGUAAAGGGCGCGUAGGCGGCGUGGUAAGUCACUUGUGAAAUCUCUGAGCUUAACUCAGAACGGCCAAGUGAUACUGCUGUGCUAGAGUGCAGAAGGGGCAAUCAGAAUUCUUGGUGUAGCGGUGAAAUGCGUAGAUAUCAAGAGGAAUACCUGAGGUGAAGACGGGUUGCUAGGCUGACACUGACGCUGAGGCGCGAAAGCCAGGGGAGCAAACGGG
rnacentral:rRNA from 1 species